UAAGCAGGCCUUCUUAUCGCUUUUAUUUGUAAAAGAGGAAAGUCCGGACACCAAAGAGCAUUAUAGCGGGUAACACCCGUCACUAUUUAUAAUAGAGGACAAGUGCAACAGAAAGUAUGUACAGUUAGGCUGUAGUGAAACCAGGUAAACUCUAUAAGGUGAAACGUCACGUAUACCAACGCUUGAGAGCUGCUCGCUCAAUGUUGGAGGGUGGGCGGUUUGAACAAAAUA
rnacentral:RNase_P_RNA from 1 species